UACGAGGGGGGCGAGCGUUGUUCGGAAUUAUUGGGCGUAAAGGGUGCGUAGGCGGUUUGGUAAGUCUCUUGUGAAAUCUAUGGGCUCAACUCAUAGUCUGCAAGGGAAACUGCCGGGCUUGAGUGUGGGAGAGGUGAGUGGAAUUUCCGGUGUAGCGGUGAAAUGCGUAGAUAUCGGAAGGAACACAUGUGGCGAAAGCGGCUCACUGGACCACAACUGACGCUGAUGCACGAAAGCUAGGGGAGCAAACAGG
rnacentral:rRNA from 1 species